GUGUUUUCUUAGCUUUGGUUGCCCCAAAAAACAUAUGGCGCCAAAAUGAUUUAAAAUAUUACAUUCAACCCUUAAGUUGUGUUGUAAAGUUUCUUAUUUUGGGUUGCAAGUUGCAAUUUGAGUUCAAUGUUGUACCGUGUUCGUUGUGUAAUGCUGUUUUGGCGGUAGGAAGCAGUCAUUGCAAGAAAAAAAUGAACGGUUGAGAAAGGAACUAACCAAUGCUAGGAAAAAAGUCAAUAACCUGAAUACUCAAUUGAGGGCUACAACAAAAGGAAUAUGAAAACGCAACUCUCUGCGAACGUUUUGUUUGGAGAAGGAACGAAUUUUAGAAAAUCUCUUGUGAAUAUGCAAUUGCGACAUAAGAUGAAAUCCCCAUGGUUACUAUCUGAAAAGAAAACAAUUUCCGUUGCAAACGUGGAUUUAGUAAAAAAAUUUUUAUCCACCUUACUUUAAAGGCGGAUACGAUGCGGCUUACGAGAAGAAAUGUAUUCUGGUGUUCGAGAAAUGUCUAUUAAGAGGAAUCUUGAGUACAACAUGAAAACAGAUUUAAUUGAGGGUUUCGAAGAUCUGGGUGAGUUUGGAAGAAAGCCUUUUCCUGUCAGUGAAGCUCUAGUUCUCAUGAUCUGAGGAAUCUAUAGCAACUGGAAAAUUCCUUUUGCCUUUUUUGUAUCGAAUGGUGAUGUGUCAUAUGCUUCUUUAUGGUGUAUAAUUACCAAGGCAUUGGAAAAACUUAAGUGAGACAAAACUAGACACUAUAUGCAUAGAUGUGAUUUAUCAACUACCAAUCAGAAACUCGUAAAGCAUUUGGGGGUUAACAAAAACCAACCUUAUUUUUUUCAUAAUGAGAAAAAAUAUUAUGCUUUUUUGAUGCUCCCCAUCUGUUGAAAUACGUUAGAAACAGUUUUUUGAACAAUAGUUUCAUGUUUAAUGGGCAGUUCAUAUGUUUUUCUGACAUUCGAAAAGUUUAUGAUCUUGAUAAAAGGAGCAAAACAGGAGAGGCCUUAUUAAAACUGACUGAUAAGCACAUCAAUUCGAAUUCUUUCGAAAAAAUGAAGGUUAAAUUAGCUGCCCAAUUGUUGAGUCACAGUGUUUAUUCUGCCAUAAUGACAUCUUUGGAAACUGGUGAACUUAUUUCAAGUACAGCUAAAAACACUGCUAACUUUGUUCUAACCAUGAACAAUUUAUUCGAUGCCCUGAAUAGUACACGUUUACAUUCAACAAAGCCCUGUAAUCCGUGUUCUGAGCGAUAUGAAUCCAGAAGUGCUAGCAGCUUUAAGCUCAGGAUAUGAUUUAUUGGAAAAUCUAUACAAAGCUGGAAAAAAGGUAAUUUGACCAGACCUGAUAGCUUUGAUGAUAUUCUUCUCACCAAUAACUCCGUUAAAUAAUUUGCAAGUGAUCAAAAAAGUGAAGGUUUCAAUUAUUUAUUCACAGGUAGACUAAUUCAAGAUCCACUUGAAAAUCACUUUUCUGAUUUUCGUCAAAGAGUAGGGUAUAACAGAAACCCAACAGUGAAAGCAUUUCAAGCUGUAUUUAAAAUAAAUAUUGUCGCCAAUUUAAUGAGGCCACCUAGAAGUGCUACUGCAGACAGUCAACUGGAUGAUGAUGAUGAUAAUAUACUGCUUUUACCAACAGAUGACAAUGAAGCACUCGCUUCAUUAAAUUUUGAAGAAGAAUCAUCAUCUGAACAAACGGAUUCAUCCACCAAUUCAAUUUCUUCCGAGGUACAUUCAAAUGAUAUUGCGACGUUAGAAAUUUGUUCUGUAAUAUAUUUUGGGGGUUAUUUAAUUAAAAAAUAUUUAGAUCACUUCGAUUGCAAAGACUGUAAAGUCAGUUUAGAAGCUUCUGAUGACAUAAACAGUGGACAAGAGCUUCUAUAUUCUAUAAGAAUAGAUUCUACAUGUAAUACAUUUUUGGGGUUUUACAGUCUUCUUAACGGUGAUUCUGGUUGUUUAGUGGAUUUUGUCCAUUUCUUUCUGUGGUCAAAAGAGCUACUUUGUAUAUAUUUUCUUGAUAACACAUAGUCGAAAUGGGUCGAGUACUGGUUAUAAAAAAAAUAAUUUCCAGAAAACAAAAAUAUUAGAAUGUGAAUAAUGUUCCGAAGCAACACUAUCAUACUUUUUAACAAACAUUUUGAGAAUUUGAAAAAGUUUUUAAAUUACAAUAAAUUUACUUAAUUUGUUAGCCAAUCGAAUUUCCCACUAACAAUGUUGUAGCUGUAAAAUGCACAAGGAAUAUAUACAGGACCGUACUACUUGUAGUUUCUGAUAAUUUUUUCAAACGCUCAGUCUAUAAUUAUUAUUUUAUAUCAACAAUUUCAUAAAAAGUGUAGUUAUUAUUGUUACUUUAUUUAAUAUUUCUGUUCGAUAUUUUCUAAUAAAUUCAUUUACUAAAAA